CACGUAGGCUGUUUGGUAAGUCAGGGGUGAAAUCCCGCGGCUCAACCGCGGAAUUGCCCUUGAUACUGCUGGACUUGAGUCCGGGAGAGGGUGGCGGAACUCCAGGUGUAGGAGUGAAAUCCGUAGAUAUCUGGAGGAACAUCAGUGGCGAAGGCGGCCACCUGGACCGGUACUGACGCUGAGGUGCGAAAGCGUGGGGAGCAAACA
rnacentral:rRNA from 1 species